rnacentral:rRNA from 1 species
AUUGAACGCUGGCGGCAGGCCUAACACAUGCAAGUCGAACGAGUGGCGGACGGGUGCGUAAUUUCUGGGAAACUGCCUGAUGGAGGGGGAUAACUACUGGAAACGGUAGAUAAUACCGCAUACCAUCGGAUGAGCCCAGAUGGGAUUAGCUAGUAGGUGGGGUAAAGGAUCACCUAGGCGACGAUCCCUAGCUGGUUGGAGAGGAUGAACAGCCACACGGGAACUGAGACACGGCCCAGACUCCUACGUGAGGCAGCAGUGGGGAAUAUUGCACAAUGGGCGCAAGCCUGAUGCAGCCAUGCCGCGUGUAUGAAGAAGGCCUUCGGGUUGUAAAGUACUUUCAGCGGGGAGGCGUUACCCGCAGAAGAAGCACCGGCUAACUCCGUGCCAGCAGCCGCGGUAAUAC